GGGGGCGGGGCGCCUCCUCCGCGGCCAGGUGAGAGCGCGCUCGUGCGCGUCCGCGCUCCAGGCGGCGGGGGAGGGGCGCGCGCUGCGGACGCCGGCCCCGCCCCCUCUCCUGCGAGUCGGCCAAGUGGGCGUUGGGGCGCCGAGGGACCCUCGAACCCCGAGACGGCGGGACUUCGGCUCAGGGUCACCUCGGACGAACAGAAAAGGAAGGGCAGCGAGGGAAAGGCAGGCGGGGUCUCGCAGAGUCGCCACCGGCGGGGACUCGAACCUGAGCUCGGGAGGCCAGCAACGAGCCGGCCGCCGGACCUCUGACCGUAGCACGCCCCCCGGGUGACGAGCGCCCCGUAAGGCUGCAAGCCGGAGCCUCUGAGGCGGGCGCAGGGGGCCCCGUCUACAUCAGCAGACCAUGCCAUGGGCCCCGCGCCCACCGCAGCCUGAGCCACUCCGGUCUUCCGGGGCACAACACACAGGUCCGCGCCCCGAGGGCCCGUGCCCACCUGCGUCGGUGUCCUCGGAGAUCCCGCUGGAACGUCCCAGGGCAGGCUCCAGUCUGUAUCUGCAGGGUCCAGGUCUGCCCUUAGAACGCUGUCUCCCGUGUCACUUCGGCCUCCAGCCUGGGAGCCGGAGUGACAGCCGCCAGGGCAGACCCUCAGCAGAGGCUGCCGGGUGGGCAGGCACCCUUGCUGAGAGCUCCACGUUGUGCCAUUCGCCUGCACUCUGACAGAUGAGACACAGCGGCUGAUGAGCUGCACCGGACUUAGACUUCCAUGAGCUUCCAGAAACAUGGAGACGGGUGGGUGACCCCAGACGCAGAAGGGGUAGAUCACCUUGGGAAGUACCCAGCCCCUGGAGAGGGCGGCAGAUGCUGGUCAAGGACGGUGUGUGUAGCCUGUCUGGUUCCCUGGGUGGCGGGAGGCUGCUGCUAAGUGGGGGCAGAGAGAGGGAGGAGGCCAGAGUUACACCAGCCCCCUUCGUGGGCAGCCACGCCUGUGCUUAAGAGGCCACGGGGGUUAGUGAUGGAGAGCGUGGACUUUCCAGUUGAACAGACUUGCUUCGACACCGCGCCUGACACACCCUCGCUGUGUGAUCUUAGGCAAGCACAUCGCUGUCAUAGGAUAUGGAUAUUUACAGCCCCCUUUGCAGCCGCUCCUCCGCUCCGCGGGAUUGUAUUCCAGUGAGCGUGUCUACGUGGAAAGCGGCGUUUGUGGGAGAUGCAGUUACCCCUGUGGCCUGUCAUCUUCCAGUCAUCCACAGGACACUAGCGCCAUUUCCUGAGGUGAUCCCACAGUGGACAGGAGUUACGACUCCCGCUGCCCAGAAUCACCGUGGCGUAUUGAACUGAACACUAAUAGUCCACAAAAAGAUCAAAGUUCAAAAUGUGAAAUAUGGUUUCGACUGAAGUCGCAUCCCACCAUAAAGUAAAAAAAAAAUUCUGCAGAAUUUUACCUACACACUGUAAGUGCAGGCUCCCGGCUCCCACACAGAGGCGGUCUGUGGUGAUGUUCUGUUUGUGCUCUAACAAAUGAAGCCUGCUUGGAGAGCAGAGUGCGGAGCUGGCCACUAGUUAACCACACAGGUCCGGCAGUGGUGGCACUCACCUUUAAUCCCAGCACUUGACAGAAGCUCACUCCCCUUCAGCCUGAGGAGAUGGCGAGCAGUUGAAGACAAAGCCCUCACCACACGAGUCUCCAAGGGACUUUCCAGAUCCAAACACAGCACUACAGCCAUCAAGACCCACGUCCAGGGUCUCACUAAGCAGAUCAGGCUGGCCAUCUCACGGGUACAAACUGAACAAAAAGGAGAAAACAAGCCGAGCACCACUGUCCAUCUCUUUCUGCCUCCUGACUGCAGAUGCAAUGUGACAGCCCACCUCACGCUCCGCUGUCAUGUCCUCUCAUCAGAUGCAAUGUGACAGCCCGCCUCACGCUCCGCCCUCCUCAUCAGGAUGGACUGAACCCUGGGAGCCAAAGGUUUCUCUGUGUAGUUUUGGUGCCUCUCCUGGAUCUCACUUUGUAGACCAGGCUGGCCCUGAACUCACAGAGAUCCACCUGGCUCUGCCUUCCAAGUGCUGGGACUAAAGGUGUGUGCCGCCGCUGCCACUGCUGAUGUUGCUACCGCCAGAGAGAUGACACAGCUGUUAAGCGCCCUUACUGCUCUCGAGGAGGACCAGGGAUCGGCUCUCAGCACUCCCGUGACACGCUGGCUCACAACUGCCUGUAACUCCAGUUUCGGAGGCUCCAGCACCCUCUUCUGGCCUCCCCUGGCACUGCACACAUGUGGUGCACAGACACACAUGCAGGCAAAGCAUUCAUACCCAUAAAAUAGAACAUUUUAAAAAGGACUGUGGAUGUAGCUAGGUGACGUGGUACUUGUCUAGCAUGUCAAGCUGUAGGUUUAACACCCAGCACUGGGUGUGGGGGAUGCAACUGACUGCUCCUGGUUGUGGCAGGUGAGAAUUUAGUUCUUUCUCUUGCCUUCUUCCACAGACAUAUUUACUCCUUUACGUUUGAUUAGAGUGAUGUUCAGUGCCCAGUCACUGCUGUCCAAACUGUGGGCAGACCCUCUUGAUGUAGCAAGUGUUGUGUUAACGCAGAUCAGCUAGUUGAUACCUGGUGAUUGGUAAACAGGGUCUAAGGUUAGCGUUUCUGUUCAGUGUUUCAAAGCCAGCAGCAGUAAACACCCAACAACUACAGAGCCGCCUUCCCAGCCAUGGCGCCUCGGGCCUUUAAUCUUAGCUCUUGAGAAGCUAAAACAGGUGGAGUGGCCAGAGUUCGAGGCUACAGGCUACAAAACCUCACCCCGAAAGGAAGAGGGCCUUUGCAAUAAGUGAAGGCCCUCCCCCAAAAGUCACGCCAAACCCCAGGAAAGCCCUUUUAACAAAUAAAACAAAACAACCAAACACCCAUCCACUUAUUUAUUUGUGCGUGGGUUGAGGGGCGGGUGGGGAUGGCACAUGUGCCAGGGCAUGUGUGUGGAGGUCAGAGAACAGCGCGUGGGAGUCUGCUGUCUCCCACCACGUGGGUCUUGUGGAACAAACUCGGGUUGUCAGGCUUGGCAGCAAGUGCCUUUGCCCACUGAGCCAUCCUGCCAGCCCUGUAGCAGCUUUCUAAUUAAUAAAGAAAACUACUCUGGCUUGUGGUUGUUUUUGCUGGUGUCGUUUGUUUACUUGCUUCUUUUGUUUUAGGACGGGGUCUUGUCCUGGACCCUGCUGAAUGCUGGGAUUGCGGAAGUGAGCCACCAUGCCUGGCUAGUUUGUUAUCUUCAGUCUUGGUGAACCGGGUUUGAUUUAGAGGUAAAUGUCUGCAAAGAUCUGUCACCCAAGAGGAAGCAGCUGCCCCUGAGGCUCACUUGGCUGUUCACAAGGUGGCAGUUGGAGUAAUUGGUGCUGAUGCCCGAGGAGAAAUGAGUGUGCUGGGGUUUUUAUUGGUAUCGUGGCUGUUUUUAUUAGAGGCUUGGUUACAACCUUCUGAGACAAAAAACACAAACCUAAUAAAGGACUUGCACCCAGAGCACAUAACGAACACUUGUAACUCAAUAAGAAGACAAACAACCCAAUAAAAAUGAGCAAAAAAUCCUGAACAUGCCGUGUGCUCGCGGAGACACAGGUGACAAACAAGCACCCGAGAGUGUCGUCCUUUGUCACCCUCACUGCUGCAGCAAAGGCCAGAGCGAUGAGGACUUCAGUGCCACAGGCUGGGGAGGCUUCGACGGGAACACAAAACAGUCCAUCCCUGUCAAAAACAGUCGGGUGUUUCCUUCUAGUAAACCGUAUGCUUGUGUAUAUGGUCCUUCUGAUACUCCUUUACUCAUGAGAAAUAAACCAUUCGCAUUCA